ACAACAGUUGGAAACGACUGCUAAUACCGCAUAAGCCCACAGCUCGGCAUCGAGCAGAGGGAAAAGGAGCAAUCCGCUUUGAGAUGGCCUCGCGUCCGAUUAGCUAGUUGGUGAGGUAAUGGCCCACCAAGGCGACGAUCGGUAGCCGGACUGAGAGGUUGAACGGCCACGUUGGGACUGAGACACGGCCCAGACUCCUACGGGAGGCAGCAGUGGGGAAUAUUGCACAAUGGGGGAAACCCUGAUGCAGCGACGCCGCGUGGAGGAAGAAGGUCUUCGGAUUGUAAACUCCUGUUGUUGAGGAAGAUAAUGACGGUACUCAACAAGGAAGUGACGGCUAACUACGUGCCAGCAGCCGCGGUAAAACGUAGGUCAUAAGCGUUGUCCGGAAUUACUGGGUGUAAAGGGAGCGCAGGCGGGAAGACAAGUUGGAAGUGAAAUCCAUGGGCUCAACCCAUGAACUGCUUUCAAAACUGUUUUUCUUGAGUAGUGCAGAGGCAGGCGGAAUUCCCGGUGUAGCGGUGGAAUGCGUAGAUAUCGGGAGGAACACCAGUGGCGAAGGCGGCCUACUGGGCACCAACUGACGCUGAGGCUCGAAAGUGUGGGUAGCAAACAGGAUUAGAUACCCUGGUAGUCCACACUGUAAAC
rnacentral:rRNA from 1 species